UAGGGAAUCUUCGGCAAUGGGGGGAACCCUGACCGAGCAACGCCGCGUGAGUGAAGAAGGUUUUCGGAUCGUAAGGCUCUGUUGUUAAGGAAGAACGAGUGUGAGAAUGGAAAGUUCAUGCUGUGACGGUACUUAACCAGAAAGGGACGGCUAACUACGUGCCAGCAGCCGCGGUAAUACGUAGGUCCCGAGCGUUGUCCGGAUUUAUUGGGCGUAAAGCGAGCGCAGGCGGUUAGAAAAGUCUGAAGUGAAAGGCAGUGGCUCAACCAUUGUAGGCUUUGGAAACUGUUUAACUUGAGUGCAGAAGGGGAGAGUGGAAUUCCAUGUGUAGCGGUGAAAUGCGUAGAUAUAUGGAGGAACACCGGUGGCGAAAGCGGCUCUCUGGUCUGUAACUGACGCUGAGGCUCGAAAGCGUGGGGAGCGAACAGG
rnacentral:rRNA from 2 species